rnacentral:rRNA from 1 species
CCUACGGGUGGCAGCAGUGGGGAAUAUUGCACAAUGGGGGAAACCCUGAUGCAGCGACGCCGCGUGAGUGAAGACGUAUCUCGGUAUGUAAAGCUCCAUCUGCAGGGAAGUUAAUGACGGUACCUGACUAAGAAUCCCCGUCUAACUACGUUACAGCAGCCGUGGUAAUACGGAGGGGGCAAGCGUUAUCCGGAUUUACUGGGUGUAAAGGGAGCGUAGGUGGUAGGGUAAGUCAGAUGUGAAAGUCCGGGGCUCAACCCGGGGAGUGCAUUUGAAACUGUCCAGCUGGAGUGCAGGUGAGGUAGGCGGAAUUCGUGGUGUAGCGGUGAAAUGCAUAGAUAUUAGGAAGAACACCGAUGGCGAAGGCAGCUUACUAAACUGUAACUGACACUGAGGCUCGAAAGCGUGGGGAGCAAACAGGAUUAGAUACCCCUGUAGUC